UUGUUUUUGAAGAUGAGGACGUUUCUGAUGAAGAUAUUAACGGUGUAAAUAAUGAGCGGCUCCAAACCGUGUAUGUUCAGCCGAACGCGACAGAAAGAGGAUGAAGUGCAGCUGUCAGCUAACAACAGCGUUGUGGAGGACGACACACAAUGGUGCUCUUGUGAACACGGUCAGCUGAUGCCACUCGUGAUCGAGUCUCCUCCUCAUAUCAGGGUCAGCUUUGCAGGACUUUGGUGGCAACCCUUCAUUUGAAUGAAAAUGCAGGGAGACAACAAAAGCACACAAUGCAAGAGAGACCAAGGUUCAUUAUAUACUUUCCUUAGUGGAAAAGAGGAUUCACAGUGAGAAAGUUAGCCACAUAUCCAACAUGUGAUAUGUGGAAAAUGAAAAAACAAAACAACAAAAACAU